rnacentral:rRNA from 1 species
AGUGAACGCUGGCGGUAGGCCUAACACAUGCAAGUCGAACGGCAGCACAGUAAGAGCUUGCUCUUACGGGUGGCGAGUGGCGGACGGGUGAGGAAUACAUCGGAAUCUACUUUUUCGGGGGGGAUAACGUAGGUAAACUUACGCUAAUACCGCAUACGACCUACGGGGGAAAGCAGGGGAACUUCGGACCUUGCGCGAUUGAAUGAGCCGAUGUCGGAUUAGCUAGUUGGCGGGGUAAAGGCCCACCAAGGCGACGAUCCGUAGCUGGUCUGAGAGGAUGAUCAGCCACACUGGAACUGAGACACGGUCCAGACUCCUACGGGAGGCAGCAGUGGGGAAUAUUGGACAAUGGGCGCAAGCCUGAUCCAGCCAUACCGCGUGGGUGAAGAAGGCCUUCGGGUUGUAAAGCCCUUUUGUUGGGAAAGAAAAGCAGCAGGUUAAUACCCCGCUGUUCUGACGGUACCCAAAGAAUAAGCACCGGCUAACUUCGUG